rnacentral:rRNA from 1 species
UACGUAGGGGGCAAGCGUUGUCCGGAAUCAUUGGGCGUAAAGCGCGUGUAGGCGGCUUGGUAAGUCCGCUCUGAAAGCCCCGGGGCUCAACCCCCGGGAGGCGGGUGGAUACUGUCAAGCUCGAGUCCGGAAGAGGCGAGUGGAAUUCCUGGUGUAGCGGUGAAAUGCGCAGAUAUCAGGAGGAACACCAAUGGCGAAGGCAGCUCGCUGGGACGUGACUGACGCUGAGACGCGAAAGCGUGGGGAGCAAACAGG